UUUUUAAUUAAUAAAUUUAAAUCAAUGUUUUUAGGUUUUUUAUAAAAGUAAUUUAAAUUUUGAAUGUUUUAGUAUUAAGUAAAAAUUAAUUUAAAGAUUUAUAGUUAAUUAGUAUUGUAAAAGAAAUUAAAAUAAAUUUUAAAAAGAUUUGAUUUAGUACCUUUUGUAUCAGGGUUAAUUUAAAUAUUUAAUUUAAAAUUAAUUUCUCAAAAUUUAUAGAGUUAAUUUUAUUAUUAUUUAUUGUUUUAAAAAUAUUUAGAAAAUAAUAUUAGUUUUGAAAUUUAAUUCGUUAUAAUAUAUUUAGUUAUUUAAGAUUUAAAUUAAAUUUAAAAUUUUAAAAGUUAUAUUGAUUUAUUUAAUAAUUAUUUUAAAUUUAAAGUAUUUUAGGGAUAAGCUUAAAAUUUUUAUAUAAUAAUUUAUUUAAAUGUAAUAUUUUAUAGGAAUAGAAAUUUUUAUUUAAGUUUGUAAAAAUUUAUUAUUUAUUUUAAUUUUAAAUUUAUUAUAAUUUAUUUAUUUUUAAUAUUAAAUUUUAUAAAAAAAUAUUUUUUUUAUAAUAAUAAUGAUUAAAUUAGUAUAAUUUAUUUUUAUUAAUUAUGAAUUUGGCAAAUUUUAUUUUCAUCUGUUUAACAAAAACAUAGUAUUUAGUUUAAUUAAAUAUAGGAUCUGCUCAAUGAUUUUUUUUUAAAUAGCUGCAGUAUUUUGACUGUGCAAAGGUAGCAUAAUAAUUAGUCUUUUAAUUGAAGACUAGAAUGAAAGAUUUGAUGAAAAAUAAGCUUUAUUAUUAAUAUAUUUAUAAUUUUAUUUUUAAGUAAAAAAGCUUAAAUAUUUUAAAGGGACGAUAAGACCCUAUAAAACUUUAUAAUUGUUUAGAUUUAUUUAUUUUUGAAAAUUAUUAUUUAGAUUUAAAUAAUUAUUUUAUUGGGGUGAUAAAAAAAUUAUUUGAACUUUUUUUAAAAUUUAACAUUAUUUAAUGAUUAAUUGAAUUAAAAUUUUUAUUUAUAAGAAAAAGUUACUUUAGGGAUAACAGCGUAAUUAAUUUAUUAAGUUCAAAUUUUUAAAUUAGU
rnacentral:rRNA from 1 species